rnacentral:rRNA from 1 species
AGAGUUUGAUCAUGGCUCAGGAUGAACGCUAGCUACAGGCUUAACACAUGCAAGUCGAGGGGAAACGACAUCGAAAGCUUGCUUUUGAUGGGCGUCGACCGGCGCACGGGUGAGUAACGCGUAUCCAACCUGCCCACCACUUGGGGAUAACCUUGCGAAAGUAAGACUGAUACCCAAUGACGUCUCUAGAAGACAUCUGAAAGAGAUUAAAGAUUUAUCGGUGAUGGAUGGGGAUGCGUCUGAUUAGCUUGUUGGCGGGGUAACGCCGCAAGGCUACGAUCAGUAGGGUUCUGAGAGGAAGGUCCCCCANAUUGGAACUGAGACACGGUCCAAACUCCUACGGGAGGCA